UCACACUUAGAUCCUUGAUAUAUCAUUUGCACUAGUGGACUGGAUGCAACCUUUACAGAGAAAUUGUUUUUCCUAGAAGUUUUAUCUGGUUGAAAGCUCUGUUCUUCAACGUCCAGAUGAAGUCUGGUGUAUUUGAGAAAAUCUACAUCUAGAUAUCAACUAGAUAUUGUAGCUAGAAACCGAAAUAGUUGCUAUGUGAUAGUAUCUACUUGUCUAUUUUUUGUUAGGUUUGUUUUAUUUAUAUAUUUGCUUUAAGUUCGUGUUAUGAAAUUUGUGGUAGUUUAGUUGGAUGAUGCUUUAGAGGAGCAUUUUGUGAUAGGAAGAAUUCGCUCUACUGAAUCUUGAUAGCUAAACAACAUUCUGAAAGCAUAUGUGAAUUGAUCAACAUGGGUUGUUCUCUGAAGGGGUUCUUUAACUUACAGAACAAGCUGGUGAAAAGGGUCAACAGGAAUGUAGGGGAGCUUUUUAGCAAGGAAGGUAGCAGAUUUUCUGGAAUUUAACUUUCGACAUAUCCAUACAGGAUCUAAAAUUUGAGAUGUAAACAUUGAUUCAAAGGUUAUAUCAUAACCAGCCAAUUUAUUGAGGUGAUUUGAUGGCACCCUUUUGGAA